AGAUAAUGGGUUAAUGAAGGCCGCAGAUUCUUGGUAUCGGGUGGCUCGAGGGAUUAAGAAGGAGGGGUGGAUUGAGGAGGAGAUAGACCUAGAGGGGAAGAAAGUCUUUGUAUAUCAUGAAAAAGGUUGUUUUGUUGAAUCUGUUGAAGGCGUUUCCAGCCCUCCUCCAUAUGAUAAGGCCUGGCCAGAAAGGGGGGUGGCUCAACCAGCCCCUGGAGCCCCCACACAGCCCAUUCAUGUUAACACAUGCUCUCCAGCCCCUGCUGCCUUGUACCCUGUCCUUAAGGCAGACGGUUCAUGUUACUUUCCAGCCCCCUCUCCUUCUCCACUCCAAAUCCCAGUCACACAUUCCCUUCCUGUUUCUUUGCCUCCUCCUCCCUUGCCCAUCUCUGCUGCUACACCCUCUCUUCCAACUCCUGUUGCUUCUGUCCACGCCCAAUUCCUUUCACAUCUCCCUAUAACUUCUGCCCUUUCACUGUCACCAUUUCCUGUUUCUAACACACCCAUCCCUUCCAUGAUGGUAACUUCCCCUACCAACACCCCUGUGGUCGCUUCCUCCCUCCCUUCUGUAUCCUCUUCCAUUCCGGCCCAUCUCAUAACUGCCCCCAGUGUAUCUUUCCCUAUUAUGACUAUUGGAUCCACUGUUCCUGCAGCAUCAGGCUAUCCUCCUGCUGCUACCCCUGCAGCAUCAGGCUAUCCUCCUGCUGCUACCCCUGCAGCAUCAGGCUAUCCUCCUGCUGCUACCCCUGCAGCAUCAGGCUAUCCUCCUGCUGCUACCCCUGCAGCAUCAGGCUAUUAUCCUGCUACCUCCACUGCUACAUCAGUCACUUCUCCCCCUGCCUCACAACUUGAUUCGGUCCACAUUACUCCUACAGUUAGUCACCCUGCGGCCAGUACUACUGUUGGACCGAUUUCAGUUCUUCCUGACAUGGCUUGUGUAUCCAGCCAACAGAUUCCCAUUCCCCCUGCUGAUGGUAGUGUCCAGGGGGUGCAGUCUCCACAGACCCCGACUAAUCUGCCUCACAUUGCCAUAGCAGGUGCUUGCAGUACCCAGCAUGAUCAGGAGGGUGCCCCUUUAAUGUAUGUUACCUUCAACCCGUCCCAAGCUGCAACACUAGUACACUCACUCCCUGACCCUGAGAAACAGCCCAUGCCCUUUUUCCGUCGGAUUGUUCAAAUCCGUAAAACUUACUCUGCAGCAUGGCGUGAUUUGUUUAGUCUGUGUGAAAUUAAGGCAGGGGAUGCUUACUGGCCCAUAAUGGAAAAGAGUUUUGAUGAUGCCCGUCUCACUACAGACACGGAUUAUCAGUCUGGUAUCACAUUUUGUGAACAACUCCGUGCAUGGGCUCAAGAUAAGUUGACUGAUCAGGCUACUUCUAUUGCUGAUAUUGUUCAAGAAAAAUCAGAAACGGUUGAAAGAUUUCAUUCCAGGUUAACUCAAACCUUUUCCGAUCUGGGUUUCAAUACAUGUAAUAAGGCCCACACCCAGAUGCUAUCAGCCGCUUUCGUUGCAGGCCUUAAAGAACCUAUAAGGAAAGGCCUGGUCCUGUCCCGUCCCGAAUUCAGGAUAAUUCCCAUGGAUACUCUCCUCCUGGUCGCUAAAGGCCUGGAGUCGAUCCAAUUGCCCCAGCACAAGAAAUCCACUCCUUUAAUGUUUACAUUACAUGACCCUGCAAUUACACCUGCCCCUGUUGGGUUCCCUGUUACCACACUACCGGGCCCUUUCAUGACUCAGGUUCCAAGACCACAAGGUCGAACUUGUUUUCACUGUAAGCAACUAGGUCAUUUUAAGAAGGAUUGUCCAGGUUUUCCAGCACCUCGGCAGCGCACACAGGCUCUACGGCCACCGUAUCCUGUGGCCGGUUAUCCUCCUACUCAAGCGCUAGGUUAUCCGACACAUGAUUCCAAUUAUGCUAACUAUACUACUUAUUAUCCGGAUGACCGAGCCUCAGCCAAUUAUCUGCCCUCUAAUCGUCCUAUGCCUAGACACCGACGCCCUGCACAGCAUGCUCAACAACCAUACUACCCAACUACACCUACACGUACAUAUCCUGGUCCUGACCAGUCUCAUAUUGAUCUUGUCCAAUAGGUAACAGGCAAACCUGUGUCCAAUGCCCCUGUCAUGGCAGUGUAUACAGGGGCUACAGCUACAGUGGUCCUACCUGUGGAAGGCUGCCCAACCACCUUCUUAGUUGACACAGGCGCAGCCCGUAGCGUACUUAGAGCAUGUGACCUGCCUGACGAUUCCUUUCUCUCUAAUAUAGAUGUUUCCUGUAUAGGUGUAGACGGUACCCCUCGUAGCAACCCAUUAACUAAGCCCUUACGGGUGGGUACUUUCCCUGAUCUCCUUACUCGUUUUGUAGUGUCUCCCUCUUGUCCUCUUAAUUUGUUGGGAGCUGAUGUUCUGUCCCGCUUACAGGCCUCCAUCUCCUUUACUCCAGAUGGCAAGGUUCAGUUAUUGACCCCUCUCUCCAGUGAAGAUACCUCAGCCCUUUGUUCUUUACCCCUCCUACUCCACAUGGAAUCACCCCAUGGAAAUGCAAGGGUCCUAGACAACUCCCCCAGUGCACUUGACAGAGUUCCUGUGCAACUGUGGUCUACUGGUCCCGAUGAUAUUGGACGACUUAAAGUCCCUCCGAUAUUUGUGCAGUUACUCCAAGGAGCAAGUCCGCCCAGAAGACCACAAUAUCCAUUGACACCUGCUCAGGCCCUCUCUAUCUCCAAACAGGUUGAAACUCUGCUGGCUGCGGGUGCACUGAUUAAAUGUGUGUCGCCUUGUAACACUCCUUUGUUUCCAGUUAAGAAAAAGACCGAAAAGGGCGAACCGGACAAGUACAGGAUGGUUCAAGACCUCAGAGCAGUUAAUGAUGUUACCGUCUUGGAAACUCCCAUUGUUCCAAAUCCUCAUACUCUUCUAUCCCAGGUCCCUCCUUCAGCUAAAUUCUUCACGGUGGUGGAUUUGGCCAAUGCCUUCUUCAGCGUGCCUUUGCAUCCCUCUUGUCAAUACCUGUUUGCAUUUACCCAUGACCGCCAACAAUAUACCUGGACAGUCAUGCCCCAGGGAGCACAAAAUUCCCCAAGCCAGUUUGCAAGAGCCAUGGCAUACAUCCUGGAACCAUGGCAGAAAUCUCACACAGAGGUGGUCCUCCUGCAAUACGUGGACGAUCUCCUUCUCUGUGCUGACGAUCUCCCGACUGCAGAAUGUGUCUCUGAAGAUUUCCUCUGUUUCCUGGCCGCCCAAGGUUGUAAAGCAUCUAAGAAGAAAUUGCAGUGGUGCCGACCCUCGGUGAUAUUUUUAGGGCAUUGUCUUUCUCAUGGCACCCGGCACCUUACUAGAGACAGAGUGCGGGGUAUCACAUCACUCUGCCCUCCAUCGGCUCACAAGUCCCUCCAUGCCUUCCUAGGUCUUAUCUCUUACUGUAGAGCCUGGAUUCCUGAAGCCUCUACACUGAUGCAGCCACUCUACGAUGC